ACUGCGCAUCAUGGCGCUAAAACACACGGGAUGCUUUUGAAAACGAGAUUUUGGCUUUUAUCGUAAGGCUUGUUUCAAACGGGAAGAAGUUCGGCUCUUUUUAAGAUCUUUGCACGUUAUCCUUUGACGGAACUUACCUGGAAAGAUUGUUUUCUUCGCAGGAGCUUUCUUUCUGGGCUUAAGGAAAAUAAAGCUGUAUUUCUGGUUCUUUUAGACUAUAAAAGAGGAUGGUUUUAUUAAAGAUGCAUGGGCAAAUGCAAUAAUAAGAAGAGCGCUUAAUAAUGGAGCCUUUUUAGAGUUGCAGAAGAACGUCGGAAUGAACAGAGGCUGAUCAUGAUCUACAACAGUGUUUAUUCUCUACCCGAUUCAAUCGAAGGACAGGAACUGAAGAAGAAAGUGGGUCAAUAAAAUAGAAAAAUGACAGAUGAGAAUAAACUUAACUACACUUGAUAGAUCUGAUAAUUAAACAUUUGGAAUACGUUUGAGAAAAAUUGUGAUGCCAUAAGCCAUUAAACACAAUAUGACUCACUGCCAUGAAAGUAUUAUGGUGCAUCAAGUUAUAAAAUGCCAUAUGAUUCUACGAUUUCAUAAAAACAUUAUGAUGCCACGAUUUCAUAAAAACAUUAUGAUGCCACAGUGUUAUAGAAGUAUUCUGAUGUCAAAAUUUAUGAAAUGCCAUGUGAUGUAACUACAACAUAAAAUCAUUGUUAUGUUUCCAGUCAUAAUGAAUGAGAGCAUAUUUUUUAGGGAAGUAAGAAACCCUUCAAUAAUGUAAAAUUCGAAUAUUUUUUAAAUAUUUAACUAAAUGCAUAAUGAAAGUUUU